GAGUUCCGUUGGGCGAACCUGCGGAGGGAUCAUUACCGAGUUUACAACUCCCAAACCCCUGUGAACAUACCUAUACGUUGCCUCGGCGGAUCAGCCCGCGCCCCGUAAAAAGGGACGGCCCGCCCGAGGACCCCUAAACUCUGUUUUUAGUGGAACUUCUGAGUAAAACAAACAAAUAAAUCAAAACUUUCAACAACGGAUCUCUUGGUUCUGGCAUCGAUGAAGAACGCAGCAAAAUGCGAUAAGUAAUGUGAAUUGCAGAAUUCAGUGAAUCAUCGAAUCUUUGAACGCACAUUGCGCCCGCCAGUAUUCUGGCGGGCAUGCCUGUUCGAGCGUCAUUUCAACCCUCAAGCUCAGCUUGGUGUUGGGACUCGCGGUAACCCGCGUUCCCCAAAUCGAUUGGCGGUCACGUCGAGCUUCCAUAGCGUAGUAAUCAUACACCUCGUUACUGGUAAUCGUCGCGGCCACGCCGUAAAACCCCAACUUCUGAAUGUGACCUCGAUCAGUAGAACCCAUUUCCC
rnacentral:rRNA from 1 species